AGAGGGAGAAAGGGUGGGGAAGAAGAAAGAAGAAAAAGACAAGAAGGGAGAAUGGAAUGAAAGACAAAAGAAAAUCUAGCAGAGGGAAUGAGGGCAAACCAUGGAAGACAGAGGAAGGAACAAGAUGGAAUGGAGGAGAAGAGUGAGAAAAAAGACUGGAAGGUGGAGAAGAGAGAAAGAUUGGAAACAAGAAACACCUGAAGAGGAGUGAUAGCAAGGGUGGAGAAAGGCAGGAGAUGAGGAAAAGAGGGACAAUCAAAAGAAGGAGUUGGUGAGGCAGAUGAGUGGAAGGGAGGAGAAGAAGAAUGGAAAAGAGGAGACCAAUCAAAAGAAAGGAGGUUGGGUUGGGCAGGGAUGAGUGGAAGGGAGAAGAGAAGAAUGGAAAAACGAGGAGGACCAAUCAAAGAAAGGAGGUUGGAAUGGGGCCGGGAUGAGUGGAGGGAGAGAGAGAAGAAUGGAAAAGAGGAGACCAAUCAAAAGAAAGGAGGUUUGGAAUGAGGGCCGGAUGGUGGAAGGGAGAGAAGAAUGGAAAAGAGGACAACAAUCGAAGAAAAGGAGGUUGGAAUGAGGGCAGGGAUGAGUGGAAGGGAGAGAAGAAUGGAAAAGAGGACAACAAUCGAAGAAAGGAGGUUGGAAUGAGGGCUGGGAUGAGUGUGGAAGGAGGAGAAUGGAAAAAGAGGAAAAAAUCAAGAAAAGGGUUGGAAUGAGGGCCGGGAUGAGUGGAAGGGAGGGAGUGGAAGAACGACAAGGAUGACUAUAAGGACCUUGGCAAAGGAGGAGGAAGGAGAGAGGAGAGAAAAGGGAGUGGAAGGGAGAGAGAAAGAUUGGACAAAGAAAAGACAGAAAGAAAGACGUCAGUAAAGAGUGGAAGAGUAGGACAACAGGAGAGAAAAUGAU
rnacentral:lncRNA from 1 species